UCUCACCAGAUCUCAUCCGCCCCCAACUCCAUGCUUUCUCUCUCCCAGGCGAUUUCCAGAUCUAGGGUUUCAAUAACCCUGAAUCGUUCAUUUUCUCUCAAUCCGACAGAAGAUCCAGUGGGGUUGACCUCAGCUAAAUGAAGUAUAUGACUGUAGCAAGCCCCAUUUAAACUUUUGCUUCAGAUUGUGACUUUGGGUUCAAAGUUGAUUUUGUUGGUUGCCCCUUUUCUUUAUGCUUAGGAAUCUUGAACCCUAACAACGAGUAUGCAUCCCUGAAUCCCAAAGAAGGUAGCUUUCACGGAUGGAAAUUGUAUGGUUUUGUGAAGCUCAGAUUUUUGCAGAUUCAACAGUUAAGUCACAGAUACGGACGUGAGUUGUGAGGGGACGGGAGUUGUGAGAGGACGGGAUGACGGUAGUAGGCAUCACUCAGGAGCACAAUUCUGAAAGCAGAUGUCUAUUGUUAUGUUAAAGAGGCCAAGCAAAAUCUAUCAAGUUACUUCUGCACAUAAAGCGCAAUGAGGGAGACGCCAAGGUACAGUCAUUGGUUUUAAGUGAACAUGGCCUUUUGUUUCCAAGGUACUAUUUUUUCAUGUUCUCAAACAAUUAUGAAUUUAUUAUUGUAUUUUUAUACCUAUUAUUAUAGAUGACCCGGAUUUUACUUUUGACUAACAAAAGAGUUGAUAGGCAAAUCAUUAGAACCAGCAGCCGUGAGCAAUAGCGCCACCACCUUCAAUAAACGAUAUUCGUUUGGAAUAACGGUUGUGAUUCCAUCAUAGCAACCCAGCACCCGAUAAAUGAUAUCAGUUUGUGUUGCUGAUGGAACCUUUGUCCUCUCUCCUGCUGAACCCAGAGAUUAUCACAAACCUAGGCAGCUCAAAACUUGGAAAUGGUGAUCAACCGGUGUUAAUUGAUUAUGAACGUCUCAAAGUAUAGAUACGAUGUUGUGGUUAUGUUUUAUGUUUCUGAAAUGGAGGGUGAAAGAUUAGGU
rnacentral:lncRNA from 1 species